AUGGGGAUAAAAUUCAAGGUCAAGCUAUACAGCGACAGGGCGGGAAGCAGCGGAGACGGCGACGCCGGACCCACACCGCCGCCUGCGCCAGGCCUCGCGCCGUCGCCCUCCCUCGAUCCAUCGGCGGUUUCCACCUCGCCGCCCCCGCUUCAGCCGGCACGGCAGCCGCCGCUGACCCCCAUCGUCAAGUACACGGAUGAAGGACCGGAUGUUGAUGACGAUUGGCCUGAGGACGAGGAUGAUGACUGGCCCGAGGACGAGGAUCAAGGACUGGAUGAUGAUGAUUGGCCUGAAGACGAAGAUGAUGAGGGUUGGGAGGUUAUGCAAGAGGAUGAGGAUGAAUUACCAGAUGAGGAGAAAUUCUACAUUUCAUUGUUUAUGAGCGCUCAAAAGAAGAAUCUCCCGCAUGAUCUUGUUCGGCAUGACUCGGUGCCGCUCAACAAAAAUGAAUAUUUUUCUCUGUGGGAAAAUUGGAAUCAGCUGCUGGAUGGCAAGAGAACAUACCUCCGACCACCGAAGGACUGCCGUAUUCUCAGUGUCAGUGGCGUUUUCCGGUGUCCGGAUGCUCGCCCAAGGACAUUAGGAUGCAAGGAACCACUCUUGGAUUUGGUUCAGGAUUAUCCAGAUAAUGACAUUUUCCAGGAAAUAAUCAAGAUUCUUUGUCAGCGCUAUUUGCACAUCAGACGAACUCGCGGAGAUGGCAACUAUUUCUACAGAGCUUUCUUUUUCUCCUACUUGGAAAAUCUUGGACAAAUGCAAGAUAGUCAAGCUGAAGUUACUCGCCUAAUGGAACAUGUGGCAGUGUCCAGAGAGAGUUUCUGUCGUCUGAAAUGGGACAAAGCAUACUUCUUAAAUCCUGAAGAAUACUUUUCAAGUGUUGCUUCUGAGUUGAAUCAUUUGGUCAAUUCUGUUGCAAAUGGUCUGAGUUCUGACGAGUUGUACAAGAGAAGUCUACAGGAGAUCAUGCCACUCAGGAUCAUUUCUUUGCUAAGAUUGCUGGCAGAGACAGAUCCGUACUCGAGAAGCUGA
rnacentral:rRNA from 1 species